rnacentral:rRNA from 1 species
AACGUAGGAGGCUAGCGUUAUUCGGAUUUAUUGGGCGUAAAGCGCGUGCAGGCGGUCUGACAAGUUGGAUGUGAAAGCUCCUGGCUCAACCGGGAGACGUCGUUCAAUACUGUUAGACUAGAGAAUGGGAGAGGGAGGUGGAAUUCCGGGUGUAGUGGUGAAAUGCGUAGAUAUCCGGAGGAACACCAGUGGCGAAAGCGGCCUCCUAGACCAUUUCUGACGCUAAGACGCGAAAGCUAGGGUAGCAAACGGGAUUAGAUACCCCGGUAGUCC